UACGGAGGGGGCUAGCGUUGUUCGGAAUUACUGGGCGUAAAGCGCACGUAGGCGGCUUGGUAAGUUAGAGGUGAAAGCCCAGAGCUCAACUCUGGAACUGCCUUUGAAACUAGAGGACUUGGGUACGGGAGAGGUGAGUGGAAUUCCGAGUGUAGAGGUGAAAUUCGUAGAUAUUCGCAAGAACACCAGUGGCGAAGGCGGCUCACUGGCCCGGUACUGACGCUGAGGUGCGAAAGCGUGGGGAGCAAACAGG
rnacentral:rRNA from 1 species